UACGUAGGGGGGCAAGCGUUGUCCGGAUUUAUUGGGCGUAAAGAGCGUGUAGGCGGCCAGGUAGGUCUGCUGUGAAAACUCGAGGCUUAACCUCGAGAUGUCGGCGGAAACCAUCUGGCUAGAGUCCGGAAGAGGAGAGUGGAAUUCCUGGUGUAGCGGUGAAAUGCGCAGAUAUCAGGAAGAACACCCGUGGCGAAAGCGGCUCUCCUAGGACGGU
rnacentral:rRNA from 1 species